UUUCGAAUCAUUCACAAUGGGCGAAAGCCUGAUGGUGCGACGCCGCGUGAGGGAUGAAGGUCUUCGGAUUGUAAACCUCUGUCACCGGGGAAGAAACGCUUUGAGUUAAUAGUUCAAAGCCUGACUUAACCCGGAGAGGAAGCAGUGGCUAACUCUGUGCCAGCAGCCGCGGUAAUACAGAGACUGCAAGCGUUAUUCGGAUUCACUGGGCGUAAAGGGUGCGCAGGCGGCCAAGUGUGUGAGGCGUGAAAGCCCGAGGCUCAACCUCGGAAUUGCACCUCAAACUACAUGGCUAGAGCAUUGGAGAGGGUAGCAGAAUUCAUGGUGUAGCAGUGAAAUGCGUAGAUAUCAUGAGGAAUACCAGAGGCGAAGGCGGCUACCUGGACAAUUGCUGACGCUCAGGCACGAAAGCGUGGGGAGCAAAAGGG
rnacentral:rRNA from 1 species